GACGAACGCUGGCGGCGUGCUUAACACAUGCAAGUCGAACGGAAAGGCCCUGCUUUUGUGGGGUGCUCGAGUGGCGAACGGGUGAGUAACACGUGAGUAACCUGCCCUUGACUUUGGGAUAACUUCAGGAAACUGGGGCUAAUACCGGAUAGGAGCUCCUGCUGCAUGGUGGGGGUUGGAAAGUUUCGGCGGUUGGGGAUGGGCUCGCGGCUUAUCAGCUUGUUGGUGGGGUAGUGGCUUACCAAGGCUUUGACGGGUAGCCGGCCUGAGAGAGUGACCGGCCACAUUGGGACUGAGAUACGGCCCAGACUCCUACGGGAGGCAGCAGUGGGGAAUAUUGCACAAUGGGCGGAAGCCUGAUGCAGCAACGCCGCGUGCGGGAUGACGGCCUUCGGGUUGUAAACCGCUUUCGCCUGUGACGAAGCGUGAGUGACGGUAAUGGGUAAAGAAGCACCGGCUAACUACGUG
rnacentral:rRNA from 1 species